rnacentral:lncRNA from 1 species
CACUUUAGAGGAUAUAAAUAAUGAAGAUUAGAAGAUUGGAUUCCAAACCAAAACAUAGUGUACCAAAGCCAGGCAAUAAAAAGAAAUGGUGAUCUAGAACGCAAGGAAAUAGCUGAUAAAAGAAAUAAAAGUGAAGAAAAUAAUGCUGAGACUUCUCUCGACCAUGAACAAACACCACUAACACCAGAUAUUUUAAAUGUA